AAAAAAACAAACCCUUGGUUUUCGUGUCCAACGUUUGACCGUUCGUCUUAUUUGAAAAAAUUAAAAAGACAAGUCACGCAUAAAGUAUUAAUCAUGUUUUAUCAUCUAACAAUAAUUAAAAUACUAAUUAUAAAAAAUUUAUAUAAGACGGAUAGUUAAACGUUGGACACGAAAAUUCAGGGUUUGUCUUUUU
rnacentral:pre_miRNA from 1 species